GACAAAUUGUAGUGGCCGGCAAUGCCAGGGAGCAACAAGCUCCACUACUUGGUUUGUAGGCCACAACAACAGAUAAAAUUAUCUACAAGCCAAAAUUAUCUACAAAUUCUUUAGAAAAAAACAGAGAGAAUUCGACUUAACAACACAGACAAAAGGGAGAGCAAAAAUUCCAAGGCAAAACUUUCAAACUAUAUUUUUUUUCAUAGCCAAACGCAAGCUUUUCUCAACUAGCUUAGCCUUGCCACCAAAACCGCUCCUGUAACCACCAUUUUAUAGCCCCAGCCUCGUGGCUGAACCACAGCCGAAACUACCACCGAAACAAUCCCCCCUUAUCCAUAAAUCGACCCUGCCUCUGCCUUCAUUUAAACCCGAAACAGACCACCAUCACUAACCUUCUACCCCAGCUAAAAACCUUCCCUAUCACCCUAACCAUAGUAGAUCACCAUAAUCACCGAAAAAAUCUUAGUCAUCCCACAACCCUUCCCAAACUUGCCACAACCAAGCCCCCAUCGAAGCCCCAUCCUAAACUGUAAAACCCAUACCUGCAAUGUUUCCCCACAAAGACUGAAACCUUAACAUCUAACCAAGAACCAUCCUUGAUCGAAACCCAUAGCACACCCAGAAAGAAACACCAUAAAAUAAAAUAAUAACAGAAAAAUGAAACACAUCCCUUGGAUUUGGGGAAAAGCAGCACCAAAAAAAAAAAAAAAAGAAAGCAAAAACAGAGGAGGUGGCGUCGGCUUAAGGGAGUCAGCGGCGGCGAGAUUUUUUUGGCUGAUCAGCGACGAUGAAGAGGAAAGAUAGAAGAAGGAAAUUGACAUACUAAAAAGGCAGAAGGAUCGGACGGUGAAGGAGGAGAUUUCUUUGUUUGAAGUUUCGGGCUUUCGAUUUAGAUCUAGAACGAUAGAGGUUGAUUUGUGGAAAUCCAAGCUCGGAUCUGUAAUGAAGACGUUGUGAAGAAGCUGUGGUGAAAUUUUGGGAGGAAAAGGACACCGAGCGGUGGCGAUCGAUGACGACACUGACGAUGACCAAUGGUAGCCAACCACCGCUUUUUGGGUUUAAAGGGGGCUGUUUAAUUUUUUUGUAGAAUGAGAAAAUAUUUUUGGUGAGAACAAAGGAGGAAAUGACAAAAAAAUACUAAGUUUUUAGAGUUUGAAAAAAAAGGGAGAAAAGGUUGAACCGGACCUACACAGUCCAGCAUGACCCGACCUGCGUUCUUGCAGCCCAACCCAGGCCUCUUGAUCGAACCCGAUCCACGAUCUAUGGAGCCUACUCUGCUCCAGCUCCUGGCUCAACUCUGGGUUUGUUCCUAUUUGGACCACUUGAUUGGGUAUAUUCUUCUUUUCUUUUCUUAUUUUAUUGUCAUGUUAGUAAUUAGUACUAAUGGUAAAUAAUAUGAUUUUAUGACUCAUUAAAUAGGAUGAUAUUUUUAGAUAAAAUAAGAUGAUAUUUUAAAAAAAAAUAAUUUUAGAGGCUUGGAGAGAAAUCUACAUAAUUAUUUUUUUAUUAAGAAAUAUUGUUUUUACUCAAUGUGAAAUAGUAAAGUAAUAAUUUCAAGAAAAAAAAAAGAAAACUCUUUUAGAAAAAAUAGAAUAAUAUUUUUAAAAAAUGAUUUUGAAAACCUUAUUUAAAUAUUGAAGAGAAUUCAAAUCAUAUUUUGAAGGAUUAAUUUUUUUAAAUCUGUUUAGAUAUUGGAGAAUUAAAGGAAAUUACCUUUCACAAAAAAUAAAUAAAAAAAUAAAAUUUAUUUCACCAUUGAUUUUUUUUCCAAAAAAAUAGAUAAUAAAAAAAUAGGAUUAAAUGAAUAUGAGAUACGUCAAGUUUAGUUAAUUGUUUGUAUUUACAUCAUUUACUUAUUUCUUGUUACAUUUUGAAUUGUAAUAAUAGUGUGAAUUAUUGAUUUAUAAAUUUUAAAAAUUAGUUCUUUUUAAUAAUAGUUAAUAUUCUUAUGUAAAAAUAAUUAUUAAGACUCUUCCUAGAUAUUAGAAGGCUUUUUAAUAAUUACUUUUUACGUAAAAAUAUUACAUCAAAUUCUAAAGAAUAUUGCGAGAAUUCUAAGUAAAAAAAUAUUUUUUAAAAUUUUACCUAGAUAUUGGAGAAUUAAAAAAUAUUUUGAUACUAAAAAUUCACAUCUUAUUCUUAAAUAAAAGGUUUUAUUCUUAAAUAAAAUGAAUAAAAUUGAAAUCUAUGUUAGACAAAUUUAAUUUGUUAUCUUAUUUUAAUUUUUAUUCGUAUUAUAUAUCUAUUUUAUAUGAUAAGUGUUUGCUUUUCAUUACUUAAAAAAAAUAAUAAAUGGUGGUUUAUAAAGAUUUGUUUUAAAUAAAAAACUAAUAUUUUUAAGUUAAAAUGAUUUUUGGAACCCUAUUUAAAUAUUGAAGGGUUUUUCAAUAAUUAUUCUUUAGAAAGAAAUAUUAUGUAAAAUUUUUGAGAGAUUAUUAUGAAAGUCUCAAGUAAAGAGAUAUUUUUUUAAGUUUUGCCUAAAUAUUGUAGAAGCAAAAAUGUUUUGAUGUUAAAUAUUUUCAUCUUAUUUCUAAAUAAAAUGUUCUAAAAUAGGAUAAUAAUUAUAAAGUUUAAAAUGUGAAGAAAUUAUUUUUAAAUAUUAAAUUUAAAACCAUUUUUAUCAAUAGUUAGGAUAAUAUAUGAUUAAUUGGUAUCAAGAUUUUAUAGGCAUUGUAAGAUAUUAAUUUUUUUCACGCGUAAUUGAUUCUUGAAUUUAACUUUGUUUUCGUAGAUCAAAAUAUUUUUUUGAUAAACCAUAAAUUUGUUUUAUUAUUUUAUUGAAAAGAUAAAUUUUUAGAUAAUCAAUUGCAUUUAACAAAAAAAAGAUUAGUGAUAACUCUUUCUGUUUUGAAAUUUUUAAAAUUUUUGUUUAGUGAUCCCUAAAAUCAUUACGACAUUUGAUGCAUAUCUUCACUAUACAUACAUACAUACAUAUAUAUAUAUAUGUAAGAUAACAGAAAAAUACUAUAUGCAAGUAUUAAUUUUGAUGUUUUGACAAAAUACUAUAUACAAAGUAUUAAUCUUUCUGAGUGAGGAUAAUAGAAAAAUAGUAUAUGCAAGCAUUAAUCUUUCUCUUCAUUCUUGCAUUUUAUGUAUAUCUCUUUAGUGAUUUUUACGCUUUGAGCAAUGAUUCUCUGAGCUGUGAUUACUUUGUGCAGGACUAGGAUUUAUCACAUCUCUAGUUUUUGUCUUCUUUGUUCGUGCUUUUGGAGUUGCUUAUUUCUCAUUGGAAGAAUAGGUUAUAAUGCGAAUGCCACAUAUAUACUCAACCUUAAAAUACAACUUUUUUUUUUUUUUUCAAUCAAAGACCCUAUAUCAACUUUCAAAAACGAAGUCUUUAUGAUUUUUUCUUUUACAAUGAAAGAUUAUAUUUUUACUUACGAAAACAUAUAUUUUUGUUUUAAAAAUCGAGGAUUAUGUUUUUAAUUUAAAAAAGUUAUGUAUCAACUUUCACAAGCGUAAUCUUUAUAAAAUUUUAUUUCAAUCAAA
rnacentral:lncRNA from 1 species